GAUGAACGCUGGCGGCGUGCCUAAUACAUGCAAGUCGAGCGAACAGACGAGGAGCUUGCUCCUCUGACGUUAGCGGCGGACGGGUGAGUAACACGUGGAUAACCUACCUAUAAGACUGGGAUAACUUCGGGAAACCGGAGCUAAUACCGGAUAAUAUAUUGAACCGCAUGGUUCAAUAGUGAAAGACGGUUUUGCUGCCACUUAUAGAUGGAUCCGCGCCGCAUUAGCUAGUUGGUAAGGUAACGGCUUACCAAGGCAACGAUGCGUAGCCGACCUGAGAGGGUGAUCGGCCACACCGGAACUGAGACCCGGUCCAGACUCCCAAGGGAGGCAGCAGUAGGGAAUCUUCCGCAAUGGGCGGAAGCCUGACGGAGCAACGGCGCGUGAGUGAUGAAGGUCUUCGGAUCGUAAAACUCUGUUAUUAGGGAAGAACAAAUGUGUAAGUAACUAUGCACGUCUUGACGGUAACUAAUCAGAAAGCCACGGCUAACUACGUG
rnacentral:rRNA from 1 species